rnacentral:rRNA from 1 species
CCCUUAGAUGUCCUGGGCUGCACGCGCGCUACACUGAUGUGUCCAGUAAGCACCUAACCUCUUCCGAAAGGAACGGGUAACCUUUGCAAAGCACAUCGUGAUGGGGAUAGAUUAUUGCAAUUAUUAGUCUUGAACGAGGAAUUCCUAGUAAGCACAAGUCAUCUGCUUGUGUUGAUUACGUCCCUGCCCUUUGUACACACCGCCCGUCGCUCCUACCGAUUGAAUGUUCCGGUGAGCUCUUCGGACUGCGCGGUCUGCAGUUUCUGCGUUCCGUGCGGAAAGUUGCGCAAACCUUAACAUUUAGAGGAAGGAGAAGUCGUAACA